rnacentral:lncRNA from 1 species
GCCCAUUCUCUAGGACCAUGUCCUUGCUGCUCCCAGCUACCUUUCCUGCUUCUCCUAGGCUCAGACUUGACUGUUUUGGACUUGGGGCUGAGCUCCCUGCUGUGCUGCAGGCUCAACCAGCAUCCUGCAAGAGAGAUGAUCCCACACCUGGCUCUCCCCGCUGCCUCUCUGCCCAACCUGGAGCUUUGCAGCCCUGCUGUCCUGGAUGGCAGGGAGUUGCUUAAAAUGAAAAACUGAUCAGAGUGAACAGCUGAAAACCGGUUUGCAUAAGUCACAGUUAUUAUUCAGAUAUUACAAUGCAAGGCAGUGAGAGCUCUGCAUACUCGCAUGGAAGCAUUUAAAUAUAAAGCUGAGUACUUCCAACCCCAAACAAUCCCUGCAGCCUGCCAACAGGCGAGAAUCUUACUGGAAUACACAUAAAUCAUCGUGUUUCUGACAAAUCCUGAAGAAGCAGGGGGAGGGGG